GGGGUUGUAGCUCAGUGGUACAGUGCUUACCUACCAUAUAUGAAGCACUGGGUUCGAUCCUCAGCACCACA
rnacentral:tRNA from 1 species